CAUAUGAAAAGGGUUUCCCUGUAGGAAUUUAGAAAAAGGCGUAUUAGAUUAAGUAAUUAGAUAAUGGAGAAUCCUGCAGGAUAUUAUUAUUUAUAUAGCGCCAUCAGAUUCCGUAGCGCUGUACAAUGGGUGGACUAACAGACAACUGGACGUACAGGAACAGAGAGGUUGGAGGGCCCUGCUCAAUGAGCCAGUAUAGAGGGUAUGCAUUAUACAUAUUGUAAGGUGACUCUUUUUUUAUGCAUUUUCAUAAAUAGGACAAAAUGAUGUGUCCCUGAAAAAAUGAUGGACCUGGUU